UUGAAAUACAGGUCCCCGUACGAUAACCGAAGUUAAGCAACGUCAAGCCUGGCCAAUACCUAGAUGGGUGACUGCUUGGGAAUACCAGGUGCUGUAAG